rnacentral:rRNA from 1 species
GAUGAACGCUGGCGGCGUGCCUAAUACAUGCAAGUCGAGCGAACAGACGAGGAGCUUGCUCCUCUGACGUUAGCGGCGGACGGGUGAGUAACACGUGGAUAACCUACCUAUAAGACUGGGAUAACUUCGGGAAACCGGAGCUAAUACCGGAUAAUAUAUUGAACCGCAUGGCUCAAUAGUGAAAGACGGUUUUGCUGUCACUUAUAGAUGGAUCCGCGCCGCAUUAGCUAGUUGUAAGGUAACGGCUUACCAAGGCAACGAUGCGUAGCCGACCUGAGAGGGUGAUCGGCCACACUGGAACUGAGACACGGUCCAGACUCCUACGGGAGGCAGCAGUAGGGAAUCUUCCGCAAUGGGCGAAAGCCUGACGGAGCAACGCCGCGUGAGUGAUGAAGGUCUUCGGAUCGUAAAACUCUGUUAUUAGGGAAGAACAAAUGUGUAAGUAACUAUGCACGUCUUGACGGUACCUAAUCAGAAAGCCACGGCUAACUACGUG